rnacentral:rRNA from 1 species
UACAGAGGCCUCGAGCGUUAGGCGGAAUCACUGGGCUUAAAGCGUGUGUAGGUGGAUGCCUAAGUACCUUGUGAAAUCCCAUGGCUUAACCAUGGAAUUGCUUGGUAUACUGGGUGUCUUGAGCCACUCAGGGGCGAGCGGAACAAACGGUGGAGCGGUGAAAUGCGUAGAUAUCGUUUGGAACGCCAAUGGUGAAAACAGCUCGCUGGGGGUGCGCUGACGCUGAGCCACGAAAGCAUGGGGAGCAAACAGG